CUUAGCGGCGAACGGGUGAGUAACACGUAAAGAACCUGCCUCAUAGACGGGGACAACUAUUGGAAACGAUAGCUAAUACCGGAUAACAGCAUAAAUCGCAUGAUAUAUGUUUAAAAGUUGGUUUCGGCUAACACUAUGAGAUGGCUUUGCGGUGCAUUAGCUAGUUGGUGGGGUAAAGGCCUACCAAGGCGACGAUGCAUAGCCGACCUGAGAGGGUGAUCGGCCACACUGGGACUGAGACACGGCCCAGACUCCUACGGGAGGCAGCAGUAGGGAAUCUUCCGCAAUGGGCGAGAGCCUGACGGAGCAACGCCGCGUGAGUGAAGAAGGAUUUCGGUUCGUAAAGCUCUGUUGUUAGGGAAGAAUGAUUGUAUAGUAACUAUAUACAGUAGAGACGGUACCUAACCAGAAAGCCACGGCUAACUAUGUGCCAGCAGCCGCGGUAAUACGUAGGUGGCAAGCGUUGUCCGGAAUUAUUGGGCGUAAAGCGCGCGCAGGUGGUUUAAUAGGUCUGAUGUGAAAGCCCACGGCUCAACCGUGGAGGGUCAUUGGAAACUGUUAAACUUGAGUGCAGGAGAG
rnacentral:rRNA from 1 species